CCGGGGCUGAGGCCGUGGGGGCGGCCCUGGAAGAGCGCCCGCCCCGCCACAAAGGGGGGGGGCGGCCGGGCGGACCCCAAGAGGGAGAUCGGGCCGUGGGCACCACGGGCAAGAAGUACCAGGCGCUGACGGCCACGGAGCAGACGGCGCUGGCGCCGGGGGAGCAGCCGCGGCGCUUCGGCGUCUACCUGGACUACGAGCGGGGCCAGCUGGGCUUCUACAACGCCGAGAGCAUGAGCCACAUCCACACCUUCCACAUCUGCUGCAGGGACAGGGUCUUCCCCUUCUUCCGCAUCCUGGCCAAGGGCACCCGCAUCAAGAUCUGCACCUGACGCCCGGGGGGGUGGGAUGGGGUGGGGUGGGAGGGGAGGGGGUGGGGUGGGAGGGGAGAGACCCCCCCGGAAAAACAGCCCCUCCUGGGACAUCCCCUGUCCCUAAAAACAUGACACCUCCUGUCCCUAAAAACAUCCCACUUCUGGGACACCUCCUGUCCCUAAAAACAUCCCCCUGUCCCUAUAAACAUCCCCUUCUGGGACAUCCCCUGUCCCUAAAAACAUCCCCUGAAAAAACAGUCCCUCCUGGGACAUCCACUGUCCCUAAAAACAUCCCCUGAAAAAACAGUCCCUCCUGGGACAUCCCCUGUCCCUAAAAACAUCCCCCUGUCCCUAAAAACAUCCCCCUUCUGGGACACCCCCCUGUCCCUAAAAACAUCCCCUCCUGGGACACCUCCUGUCCCUAAAAACAUCCCCCUGUCCCUAAGAACAUCCCCUCCUGGGGCUGCACUUUGGUUUCUGGCACCUGCUUCGCUCCCGAGAUCCCUCCUCAUCCUCUUCUUCCUCUUCUUCCUCACUGGGCUCCUGGAGCUGCCCCUGGGACUGGGAUUGGAAUGGGAAUGGAUCCACCUUGGGAAUGGGUUUGGAUUGGAAUGGGAGGGACUGAUUUUGGGUUGGAAUUGAGAUGGAUCCACCUCGGGAUGGAUUUUGGGUUGGAAUUGGGAUGGAUCCACCUCGGGAUGGACUUUAGGUUGGAAUUGGGAUGGAUCCACCUUGGGACUGAUUUUGGGUUGGGAUUGGGAUGGAUCCACCCCACAGAGGUGGGUUUGGACUGGACUGGGACUGGAUCCCCCUCAGAUCCCAGGAUCCCAGCCCAGUUCCCGGUGCUGGGAGCUUUUCCCUCCCCCUCCCAGUUCCCCCCCCUUCCCCACCUUUGGAAUUUUGGGACCCCCGGGGGGGGGGGUCUUUGCGUUUGGGGCCAAAUCCUCCCGGAUUUGGAACCUCCUCCUUUCCCAAAAUCCGCUCUUUCAGUGCCUGGAUUUUUUGGGAUUCCCCCCAGCCCCCCAUUCCCAACAUUCCCCUUCUUCCCUCUUCUCCCCCUCCUCCCCCUCCCACCUUUCCCUGCCAUUUUUUGGGGGAAAAUCCCGUUUUUCCCCCUCCCCUCUGGCACUUUAUGGGUGGGGAGGAGCCUCUUUUUUCCCCCCUUUGGAGCUCCCCAAGUUUGGGAUAUUUAUUUUCCCUCUUUUUUUUCCAGCCUCCUCCUCCCCUCCCCCCCCUUCCCGUGUGUUUUCCCGGUUUUUUGGUGGAUUUGGGAAUUCCCUGUUGGGUGUUUUCUUUCAGAGCUCGGUCGGGAUAUUUUUGGCAAAAAAAAACCCAAAAAAAAACCAAAAAAAAAUCGAGAAUUUAAAUGGAGAUUUUAGUUUUAUGAAAAUGUCAAUAAUUAAAAAUAAUAAAAAAGGAGAAGUUGUAGCCGAGGCUCCGGGU
ensembl:lncRNA